AGUAAUGGCAAUACUGCAAACAACUAUCAAUGAAUUCUUUCACUUUUAAGUUGUGAACUGAAGAGGAAGGGCAUAAUCACGGGUACAGGAGUGCGUGAUACUAAAAACAACAUUUUGAAAGUAUUUUCAAAACAAGUAUGUUGAAUUUACCAACAAGAAUAUUCCACAGUCAAAUAAACUUAUUUAGAUUAUUGACAAAGCACACUCCCGGUAACCGUGGUGAUGACAGAAUAUUCACACCCACAGUAUUCUUUGCAUUAGGAUUAGGAUUUGGAUUACAUGCUUACAGCGUGUCACUGAUGUUUAGAAAAGACCGUCAUAAUGUCACUUCUGAUUAGAACUCUUAUCAGUUUUAUACAAUUGUAUUUUUUUUUAUUUGAAGAAAAGCAUAGUGUCCUAGCAUAUAUUAUGUUUUAAAUUUAAGAUUUACUACUCUAAAUUAGGAGUAAGAGUAAUUUACAAAUUUUUAGUGAACAUAAAUUGAAAGUAAUAUCAUUUAUAGGCUUAAUUUUGCUGUUUUUUUCUUUAUGUGUGCAAUAGAAAUAAAAUAUGUCCUAUUAAA